GGGGAAUAUUGCACAAUGGGGGAAACCCUGAUGCAGCAACGCCGCGUGAAGGAAGAAGGUUUUCGGAUCGUAAACUUCUAUCGAUGGGGAAGAAAAAAAUGACGGUACCCAAGUAAGAAGCCCCGGCUAACUACGUGCCAGCAGCCGCGGUAAUACGUAGGGGGCAAGCGUUAUCCGGAAUUACUGGGUGUAAAGGGUGAGUAGGCGGAUUAGUAAGCCAUAUGUGAAAACUCAGGGCUUAACUUUGAGAUUGCAUAAGGAACUGUUAAUCUAGAGUACAGGAGAGGUAAGUGGAAUUCCUAGUGUAGCGGUGAAAUGCGUAGAUAUUGGGAGGAACACCAGUGGCGAAGGCGACUUACUGGACUGAAACUGACGCUGAGGCACGAAAGCGUGGGUAGCGAACA
rnacentral:rRNA from 2 species